rnacentral:ncRNA from 19 species
CUCUUAUUCAGAGUGAUGGAGAUACAUAGGAUCUGUGAAGUCACGGCAACCCCGCAUGGCGGAAGGUGCCAACCUGAGCGAAUAAUCGAACAAUAAGAG